GACCCGCACAAGUGGUGGAGCAUGUGGUUUAAUUCGAAGAUACGCGAAGAACCUUACCUAGCCUUGACAUUGAUUGAAUACUUUAGAGAUAGAGUAGUGCCCUUCGGGGAACAUGAAAACAGGUGCUGCACGGCUGUCGUCAGCUCGUGUCGUGAGAUGUUGGGUUAAGUCCCGCAACGAGCGCAACCCUCGUCCUUAGUUGCCAGCAGGUUAAGCUGGGCACUUUAAGGAGACUGCCUUCGCAAGGAGGAGGAAGGUGAGGACGACGUCAAGUCAUCAUGGCCCUUAUGGCUAGGGCUACACACGUGCUACAAUGGGGCGUACAGAGAGUUGCGAUACCGCGAGGUGGAGCCAAUCUCAUAAAGCGUCUCUCAGUUCGGAUUGAAGUCUGCAACUCGACUUCAUGAAGCUGGAAUCACUAGUAAUCGUAGAUCAGCAAUGCUACGGUGAAUACGUUCCCGGGUCUUGUAUUCACCGCCCGUCACACCAUGGGAGUUGAUUUUACCCGAAAUUGGG
rnacentral:rRNA from 1 species